GUGAAGCCAUCAGGACCCUAGCUCUUCUUAUUUGCCUGAUGUCCUCUGUCCUUGACUCCUUGCUGGAGCUGAUCUCCCAAGUGCAUCACACCACCAAACUUCUCCUGGCCCAGCUAGAGCAUGCCAAGCCCACUGAGGCAGAGCCCAAGGAUGAGGAAGACUGUGGUGAGCAGCUCCACUCAAAGCUGAAGUCCCAGCUGCAGAGCCUGUGCCAGCUCCACCUGCAGCUUGCUCCUCAGCUCUGCCACCACAGGGAAAGCCGGUGCCAGGAACCCCUUUUCCACCAGCUGCACAGCUGGGUCACCUGGUGGCUCCUCAGCAGGUGUCAGCUCCUGAGCCCCCCCUGGGGCCAGCUCCUGCCCCACACCUGCCAUUCCCCUCUAUUACUGUUGCUCAUGCUUUGCUCUUUACUUUUGCACUUAU